rnacentral:rRNA from 1 species
GGGAUGAGCUCAAAUUUAAAAUCUGGCGUCUUUCAGGCGUCCGAGUUGUAAUCUAUAGAGGCGUUUUCCGCGCCGGACCGCGUCCAAGUCUCUUGGAAUAGAGUAUCAAAGAGGGUGACAAUCCCGUACUUGACGCGACAACCGGUGCUCUGUGAUACGUUCUCAAUGAGUCGAGUUGUUUGGGAAUGCAGCUCUAAAUGGGUGGUAAAUUCCAUCUAAGGCUAAAUAUUGGCGAGAGACCGAUAGCGAACAAGUACCGUGAGGGAAAGAUGAAAAGCACUUUGGAAAGAGAGUUAAACAGCACGUGAAAUUGUUAAAAGGGAAACGAUUGAAGUCAGUCGUGUGAAAGGUAUUCAGCCGUCUCUGGCGGUGUAUUUGCCUUUCACGGGUCAACAUCAGUUUGAUCCGGUAGAAAAAGGCGGGAGGAAGGUGGCACCCUCGGGUGUGUUAUAGCCUCCUGUCAUAUGUGCCGGACCAGACUGAGGAACGCAGCUUGCCGCAAGGCCGGGGUUCGCCCACGUACAAGCUUAGGAUGUUGACAUAAUGGCUUUAAACGACCCGUCUU